AACUUUCAGCAACGGAUGUCUUGGCUCCCACAACGAUGAAGAACGCAGCGAAAUGCGAUACGUAAUGCGAAUUGCAGAAUUCCGCGAGUCAUCAAACCUUUGAACGCACCUUGCGCUUUCGGGAUAUGCCCGUUAGCAUGUUUGUUGGAGUGUCU
rnacentral:rRNA from 12 species